AUCAUUAAGGUUGGAAAAGACCUCUAAGGGCAUCGAGUCCAACCAUCAACUGCUCACAUAACAGCAAGAGAUUUUCACCUAGAUACAUGUAUGCAAAUAGAAGACAAAAAGGCUGCAACACUAAAUAUGACCCAGGGGAAGAGUUAUGAACCCUACACCUGCACUUUAGAAAGCACUUUUCUACCUGUCCUUCCACCCCCCUCCAUUACCCAGGGAAUCCUGAGAGCUUUUACUGCUCUGUUUACAGUACCUAUGGAAACAGAAGAACUGAAGAAAGAUGAAUGACUUAUGUGUGAAAUUUCCUUCCAGGGAACUAACUGCAAGUUGCAGUGGUUAUUAAUAAUAGUAAUUCAAAUCUAAUCAGGGGAUAGGAAGAACAAACAUUUACAUUACACCCUGCAGUCUAGACUGGGGCUAGAAAACAAGAAGUCUUUUUCUUUUUCUUGGUUUCAUUUUCUUGACCUUUUUGUUUAAAGAAAAUCAUGAAAAGAAGAAAGGUUUCUCAGGAGAGAGGAAAAGCUCUUGUUAUCACCUGGGAUGUGGAGGAUUGUGAUGAAGUCCUAGCUCAAAAACUGUGAAGAGUGCCCUAUAUCCAAGGUCCUGUGUAAGGACUGAGGAAGAGUGAAGAGAAAUGGCAUGGCAGAAAAAUGCAGCAGGAAAAGCCCAGCAUCCUCACUCCUUCUCACUAAGGAAAAGUUUCCAAGGCCUCACUCCAAG